rnacentral:tRNA from 1 species
GAGGGUAUAGCUCAGUGGUAGAGCACAUGCUUAGCAUGCACCAGACCCUGGAUUCAAUCCCCAGUAUCUCCG